CCUACGGGUGGCAGCAGUGGGGAAUAUUGCACAAUGGGGGGAACCCUGAUGCAGCAACGCCGCGUGGGUGAAGAAGUACUUCGGUAUGUAAAGCCCUGUCAGCAGGGAAGAAAAUGACGGUACCUGACCAAGAAGCCCCGGCUAACUACGUGCCAGCAGCCGCGGUAAUACGUAGGGGGCAAGCGUUAUCCGGAUUUACUGGGGGUAAAGGGAGCGUAGACGGCAAGGCAAGUCUGGAGUGAAAGCCCGGGGCUCAACCACGGGACUGCUUUGGAAACUGUGUGGCUGGAGUGCAGGAGGGGUAAGCGGAAUUCCUAGUGUAGCGGUGAAAUGCGUAGAUAUUAGGAGGAACACCGGUGGCGAAGGCGGCUUACUGGACUGUAACUGACGUUGAGGCUCGAAGGCGUGGGGAGCAAACAGGAUUAGAUACCCCGGUAGUC
rnacentral:rRNA from 1 species